rnacentral:rRNA from 1 species
GCGGACGGGUGAGUAACACGUGGGUAACCUACCUAUAAGACUGGGAUAACUUCGGGAAACCGGAGCUAAUACCGGAUAACAUUUGGAACCGCAUGGUUCUAAAGUGAAAGAUGGUUUUGCUAUCACUUAUAGAUGGACCCGCGCCGUAUUAGCUAGUUGGUAAGGUAACGGCUUACCAAGGCGACGAUACGUAGCCGACCUGAGAGGGUGAUCGGCCACACUGGAACUGAGACACGGUCCAGACUCCUACGGGAGGCAGCAGUAGGGAAUCUUCCGCAAUGGGCGAAAGCCUGACGGAGCAACGCCGCGUGAGUGAUGAAGGGUUUCGGCUCGUAAAACUCUGUUAUUAGGGAAGAACAAACGUGUAAGUAACUGUGCAUGUCUUGACGGUACCUAAUCAGAAAGCCACGGCUAACUACGUGCCAGCAGCCGCGGUAAUACGUAGGUGGCAAGCGUUAUCCGGAAUUAUUGGGCGUAAAGCGCGCGUAGGCGGUUUCUUAAGUCUGAUGUGAAAGCCCACGGCUCAACCGUGGAGGGUCAUUGGAAACUGGGAAACUUGAGUGCAGAAGAGGAAAGUGGAAUUCCAUGUGUAGCGGUGAAAUGCGCAGAGAUAUGGAGGAACACCAGUGGCGAAGGCGACUUUCUGGUCUGUAACUGACGCUGAUGUGCGAAAGCGUGGGGAUCAAACAGGAUUAGAUACCCUGGUAGUCCACGCCGUAAACGAUGAGUGCUAAGUGUUAGGGGGUUUCCGCCCCUUAGUGCUGCAGCUAACGCAUUAAGCACUCCGCCUGGGGAGUACGACCGCAAGGUUGAAACUCAAAGGAAUUGACGGGGACCCGCACAAGCGGUGGAGCAUGGUGGUUUAAUUCGAAGCAACGCGAAGAACCUUACCAAAUCUUGACAUCCUUUGAAAACUCUAGAGAUAGAGCCUUCCCCUUCGGGGGACAAAGUGACAGGUGGUGCAUGGUUGUCGUCAGCUCGUGUCGUGAGAUGUUGGGUUAAGUCCCGCAACGAGCGCAACCCUUAAGCUUAGUUGCCAUCAUUAAGUUGGGCACUCUAGGUUGACUGCCGGUGACAAACCGGAGGAAGGUGGGGAUGACGUCAAAUCAUCAUGCCCCUUAUGAUUUGGGCUACACACGUGCUACAAUGGACAAUACAAAGGGCAGCUAAACCGCGAGGUCAUGCAAAUCCCAUAAAGUUGUUCUCAGUUCGGAUUGUAGUCUGCAACUCGACUACAUGAAGCUGGAAUCGCUAGUAAUCGUAGAUCAGCAUGCUACGGUGAAUACGUUCCCGGGUCUUGUACACACCGCCCGUCACACCACGAGAGUUUGUAACACCCGAAGCCGGUGGAGU